CCGUGCUAGGUGGGGAGGUAGCGGUGCCCUGUCACUCGCAAUCCGCUAGAGCGAGACUGAAUCCCUUUCCUAGGUUAUAUCAUCUUUUGGCCUGCCCUAAGUAAGUAGUGUUGACGUUUGGGUUCUGCGCAACGGAAACUCAUGAAUCCUGUCAGGUCCGGAAGGAAGCAGCAGUAAGUGAAUCCUUUCGUGUGCCGCAGAGUUGCCUGGACCGAGCCAACUGCUUAGGUAACGCAUGGGAUGGUAUGAUCAAAGAAAGGUGCACGG
rnacentral:SRP_RNA from 1 species